GGCCAUAGCUCAAUGGAAAAGCACCUGUCUUGCAUGCAGAAGGUCCCAAGUUCGAAUCCUGGCAUCUCCA